GUCUAAAGCCAUACCAUUCUGGAUAUGCCCAAUUAGUCUGAUCUCAGAAGCUAAGCAGAGCUUGGCCUAGUUCAUACUUGGAUGAGAGCUAGUUGGGUGAUAUUACAUGCUGUAGCCU
rnacentral:rRNA from 1 species